AAUAAUAAUAUACUACGUAUACAACAGACGGUUCACUCCAUACAAAAAAAGUUGCACUAUGAAUUUGCGCAAUUAAAGCGCCAGUGGGGAAAAAACGUACUACAUGUUCGAUUAUAUCUCUUGGUCUUUUGCUUUUAACACACUAGAUGGCACGUUAAACUCAGACUUGAAGUUCUUUUCCUUCCAGAGCCACUAGAUGGCACUAAUGUAAAUAUAUGUACACGUGUCACGUACCUUUUAUUUUCAAGUCUGUGGCGUCAAGUGUCAAUCAACAUAAUAAUAAAUAGGUACCUACUCGGAUUUUUAAAUAAACAAAGUAAACUGACUUAUUUAGUCACAGAGUACAUUAAUAAGACUGGUAUUUAGUUCAGUUUAUUUACGAGAUUCUGUCAAAACCAAAACGAGAAGCUUUGUUUGUUUUCGUUUUUAAUUGUUGACUAAUAUUUUAAAAAUAAGUGCUAAAUAUGGUUUAUGGAUGAACUGUGAGGUUAUGUAGAAUCUACAGGCAGAAAAUAAGCUUUAUAUGACUUAUUGCUUACGUUCGCAAUAACAAAUUUGUUCAAGAGAGGAGAAGAAUUAAUCCAUCCCAAAUGUAAAUAAUAAUACGAUUCUCCACAAAAACAUUGUAGACACAAGAAAGGGAUUUCUACAUUUGCUACUAAGAAGGAUAUGGGAUCAUGAAGGAUUUCAUCUGUUUUAAUACCAGUAAAAUGGAAUGAGCGCCGCGGCCGUGGCCGUGACUGUGUUUGGUACAUAAAGAAUGACAAACAUUCAACUUGAAAUUAUGAGUGCAUUACGGGCAAGGGCACAAUAAGUUUCCCUUUGACUAAGAUGUACUUAAUUUUAAGGAACACGAAAAUGGAUGGCUAGAAUAGGUAUAAUCGCAUACAUAGUAUUUAUUUCUAGUCUGUUGUAUAAAUAAUCAAAGACUACAAAAUAUAAUGAACUAUGUCUUUAAUAUUAAUUCUACAGUUUACAGUGUAGUGUGUAAUCUAUUGUAUGUGUGCGUCUAGAAUAUAUAGUCCUGUUGUUCUACAGUUUAAGCAGUUCAAUACAAGCUUACAUUCGA